rnacentral:rRNA from 1 species
AACGAACGCUGGCGGCAGGCCUAACACAUGCAAGUCGAGCGCCCCGCAAGGGGAGCGGCGGACGGGUGAGUAACACGUGGGAAUUUUCCUCAAGGUACGGAACAACUCAGGGAAACUUGGGCUAAUACCGUAUGAUGCAGAGAUGCCAAAGAUUUAUCGCCUUGGGAUAAGCCCGCGUCAGAUUAGGUAGUUGGUGGGGUAAUGGCCUACCAAGCCUGUGAUCUGUAGCUGGUCUGAGAGGACGAUCAGCCACAUUGGGACUGAGACACGGCCCAGACUCCUACGGGAGGCAGCAGUGGGGAAUAUUGGACAAUGGGGGCAACCCUGAUCCAGCAAUGCCGCGUGAAUGAUGAAGGCCUUAGGGUUGUAAAGUUCUUUUCUCUGGGAAUAAAAGUGGAAUUCUUUCCGCCUUGAAGGUACCAGAGGAAUAAGCACCGGCUAACUCCGUG